GGUUCGGUGGUGUAGUUGGUUAUCACGUUCGCCUCACAUACUGCUGUGCGCGAAAGGUCUCGAGUUCGAACCUCGAUUGAAUCA